GAUGGCGGAGGCGGAGCGGGCAGCGCUGCCGCCGCCGCCGGCGGAAAGUUCCCGGGACGGGGCCGAAGCGGAGCUGUCCCCCGGCAUGGAGCGGCGGCCCGAGCCCGGGGAGGCGGCGGCAGCGGCGGAGGAGGAGGAGGAGGCGCGCCCUGCCUCGCCGCCGUUCUUCCUCCUCUACCCCGGCCAUGGAGGCGGCGCCGCGGCCGCGCCGCCCGGGCUGUGGAGACCCCCGGCGCCCCGCGGCGGGGCCGCGCUGCCCGUGCUGGUGCUGAGCUACCCGGGGCCGGACGGAGCCCACUCUUGGGAGGAUUUGACAGAUGUGGUGGAGCAAUUGCGCGAUGAUGAUUCCGAAGACCCGAAUUACCUGAUGGCUAACGAGCGCAUGAACCUGAUGAACAUGGCCAAGCUGAGCAUCAAGGGGCUCAUCGAGUCCGCGCUGAACCUGGGCCGCACGCUGGACUCGGACUACGCCCCCCUGCAGCAGUUCUUCGUGGUGAUGGAGCACUGCCUCAAGCACGGCCUCAAAGCCAAAAAGACUUUUCUCGGGCAAAAUAAGUCAUUUUGGGGACCUCUAGAAUUAGUAGAAAAACUUGUUCCUGAGGCUGCAGAGAUUACAGCAAGUGUUAAGGAUCUCCCAGGGCUCAAGACACCUGUGGGCAGAGGAAGAGCUUGGCUUCGCCUGGCUCUGAUGCAGAAGAAACUUUCAGAGUACAUGAAAGCCUUGAUUAACAGAAAGGAUCUUCUCAGUGAAUUCUACGAGCCCAAUGCUCUGAUGAUGGAGGAGGAAGGUGCCAUCAUUGCUGGCCUCCUCGUAGGUCUGAAUGUCAUUGAUGCCAACUUCUGCAUGAAGGGAGAGGACCUGGACUCCCAGGUCGGGGUUAUCGAUUUCUCCAUGUAUUUGAAAGAUGGGAACAGCACGAAAGGCAGCGAAGGGGAUGGUCAGAUAACUGCUAUUUUGGACCAGAAGAACUAUGUAGAAGAGCUCAACAGACAUCUAAGUGCUACAGUCAACAACCUGCAGGCCAAGGUGGAUGCCUUGGAGAAAUCCAACACAAAGCUGACUGAGGAGCUUGCAGUUGCCAACAACAGGAUCAUUACACUGCAGGAGGAGAUGGAGCGGGUUAAGGAAGAAAGCUCCUACAUCCUGGAGUCCAGCCGUAAGGCCACCAAGGACAGAAGUGCUGACGGGCAGGCGCUGACUGAGGCACGGAAGCAGCUGAAGGAGGAGACUCAGCUGCGCCUGGAUGUUGAGAAGGAGCUGGAGGCGCAGAUCGGGAUGCGGCAGGAGAUGGAGCUGGCCAUGAAGAUGCUGGAGAAGGAUGUCUGUGAAAAGCAGGAUGCCCUGGUGGCACUCAGACAGCAGCUGGAUGAUCUCAGGGCUCUAAAGCAUGAACUGUCUUUCAAGCUGCAGAGUUCAGACAUGGGAGUGAAACAGAAGAGUGAAUUAAACAGCCGCUUGGAAGAAAAAACAAAUCAGAUGGCUGCCACCAUCAAACAGCUGGAACAAAGUUCAUGUGGCUCAAAUCCAGAUUGCGACAGGCAGAGAAGGACCGGCAGCUGGCCCUGCAGGACAACCGGCUCUUCAAGCAGGAGUUUGGGGACAAAAUCAACAGCCUCCAGCUGGAAGUGGAAGAGCUCUCCCGGCAGCGGUGAAGAGACCCUUUUCCAACCUCUUUUCUGGGCUGUUGGUGCCGUGUCCAGGGGAGAGCAGGGGGAUGGUGGCAGAGGGAAGCAGCGGAUGGAGGAGGGAGCGGGCCAAGUUUUGUCUGAGAUGCCACGAGGUGUAACUCCAGGGAGGGAAGUCCUUGCUAACAGCAUCACUCGACAGUGGCACAGACUAGUUGCAGAUGCCCUACCCCUGGAGUGGGCAAGGCCAGGUUGGACAGGGCUUGGAGCUGUCUGAUCCAGUGGAAGGUGUCCCUGCCCAUGGCACAGGGUGGAACAAGGUAGUCUGAAGGUGCUUGGCAACUCAAACCUUAUGUGAUUCUGUGGUAAUUGGGAAUCCAAAGCUAACAUGACAGUUUGUUGCUCCUGGGCAGGGAUUGAGCAGCCAUGUCUCUGGCUGGAGCCAACACUGAAGGUGCUGGAGCAAGGGCAGUGAUUUUGGUUGUCUUAUCUGACACACAGUACUUUGACAUGGAUUUUUUUCCCUGCUCUUAGUUUUGCUGGAACUCCAACAGAGACUUUGUCAAAAGCCAUCACAUCUUCCCCUGCAGCCUGAUCACUUGAGCAGUGACAGGGACGCAGACCAACCUCUUUCCUUAAAGACAAGAGCAUCUCCUUCAGCCUUGACCCAUCUGUGGCCUGUUGCAAGGUCACUGGGAUGAGCUCUGUGGGAGCAUUGCUGGCUACAUGGAGGUUUUUGUCCCUUCUUCCCCUCCUGGCCCAGCUUUUUGUUUCUUUUUUCCAAAAGCUGCUCUGACAAGCACAAAGAGGCUUUGGUCAGCAAUUGGUGCAAGGUCCUGGGUGUGCAUGGGUGAGCUUAGGAGGACACGGGCUCAUGGGUCUGGUUUUGCAUCAGAUGGAUGCUCAAUGAUGCCAGAAUUAGACAAAGGAGUUGGAGAUUUUUCGUCCUGACACGUUACGGCUAAACACACCGCGAGACAAUUUUGGGUUCCAAGAGGCAGUUUUAGCUCUUGAGUUAGGGGUGUGAAGAAAGGGUCAGACAGCUCAUCAGUAGUCAAUGCCAAGUGUCCCCAAACCAUCCUUUAUUCACAAUUCCACCUGGCAUUCCAGGAGCCACCUAGAACUGGAGCUAAGGCGGGAAAGAGACAGAUGGUCUCACAGUCACCAGCGCAGCCAAGAAAGCAAAAAAGGCUCCAAGAAUUGGCUCAGACAGGAUGGGAAGCUCAAAGUCCAGGAAGAAAAUGCUAAACUGAAG